rnacentral:rRNA from 1 species
AGAGUUUGAUCCUGGCUCAGAACGAACGCUGGCGGCGUGGCUAAGACAUGCAAGUCGAACGGACUAGUGUAUUUAUAUAUUGGUUAGUGGCGUAAGGGUUAGUAACAGGUGGGUAACGUACCUUGUGCUUCGGGAUAGCGUCAGUUACUUCGGUAACUUUCCGAAAGGGGCAUUAAUACCGAAUAAAAUCAAGAGUCGAUGGACUUUUGAUCAAAGAUUUAUCGGCGCAAGAGCGGCCUGCCUCCUAUCAGCUUGUUGGUGUGGUAAAGGCGCACCAAGGCUUUGACGGGUAGCGGGACUGAGAGGUUGAUCCGCAACAUCGGGACUGAGACACUGCCCGGACCUCCACGGAGGGCUUGCAGUAACGAAUAUUGUGCAAUGGGCGCAAGCCUGACACAGCGACGCCGCGUGUAGGAGGAAGUCCCUCGGGAUGUAAACUACUGUCAGGGGGAAGAAAGUGUACUUCGGUACAUUGAUCCACCCCGGAGGAAGUCACGGCUAACUUCGUGCCAGCAGCCGCGGUAAGACGAAGGUGGCAAGCGUUGUUCGGUAUCACUGGGCUUAAAGCGUGUGUAGGUGGAAAAGUAAGCGUUUUGUGAAAUCCCCCGGCUUAACCGGGGAAUUGUGGAGCGAACUGCUUUUCUUGAGGCAAGUAGGGGUGCAUGGAACUCUUGGUGGAGCGGUGGAAUGCGUAGAUAUCAAGAGGAACGCCAGUGGAGAAAUCGGUGCACUGGGCUUGUCCUGACACUGAGACACGAAAGCGUGGGUAGCGAACGGGAUUAGAUACCCCGGUAGUCCACGCCGUAAACGAUGUCUAA